rnacentral:rRNA from 1 species
AUUGAACGCUGGCGGAAUGCUUUACACAUGCAAGUCGAACGGCAGCACGGACUUCGGUCUGGUGGCGAGUGGCGAGCGGGUGAGUAAUGUAUCGGAACGUGCCCAGUCGUGGGGGAUAACGUAGUGAAAAUUACGCUAAUACCGCAUACGAUCUAUGGAUGAAAGCGGGGGAUCGCAAGACCUCGCGCGAUUGGAGCGGCCCAUAUCAGAUUAGGUAGUGGGUGGGGUAAAGGCCCACCAAGCCAACGAUCUGUAGCUGGUCUGAGAGGACGACCAGCCACACUGGAACUGAGACACGGUCCAGACUCCUACGGGAGGCAGCAGUGGGGAAUUUUGGACAAUGGGCGAAAGCCUGAUCCAGCCAUUCCGCGUGCAGGAUGAAGGCCCUCGGGUUGUAAACUGCUUUUGUACAGAACGAAAAGGUUUCUACUAAUACUAGGAGCUCAUGACGGUACUGUAAGAAUAAGCACCGGCUAACUACGUGCCAGCAGCCGCCGUAA